rnacentral:rRNA from 1 species
CGAGUGGCGGACGGGUGAGUAAUGUCUGGGAAACUGCCUGAUGGAGGGGGAUAACUACUGGAAACGGUAGCUAAUACCGCAUAACGUCGCAAGACCAAAGAGGGGGACCUUCGGGCCUCUUGCCAUCGGAUGUGCCCAGAUGGGAUUAGCUAGUAGGUGGGGUAACGGCUCACCUAGGCGACGAUCCCUAGCUGGUCUGAGAGGAUGACCAGCCACACUGGAA